AUUGAACGCUGGCGGAAUGCUUUACACAUGCAAGUCGAGCGGCAGCACGGGGGCAACCCUGGUGGCGAGCGGCGAACGGGUGAGUAAUACAUCGGAACAUGCCCAGUCGUGGGGGAUAACACUUCGAAAGAAGUGCUAAUACCGCAUACGUCCUGAGGGGGAAAGCGGGGGAUCGCGAGACCUCGCGCGAUUGGAGUGGCCGAUGUCAGAUUAGCUAGUUGGUGGGGUAAAGGCCUACCAAGGCAACGAUCUGUAGCUGGUCUGAGAGGAUGAUCAGCCACACUGGAACUGAGACACGGCCCAGACUCCUACGGGAGGCAGCAGUGGGGAAUUUUGGACAAUGGGGGCAAGCCUGAUCCAGCCAUGCCGCGUGAGUGAAGAAGGCCUUCGGGUUGUAAAGCUCUUUCGGCAGGAACGAAACGGUGAGCGCUAACAUAGCUUGCUAAUGACGGUACCUGAAGAAGAAGCACCGGCUAACUACGUG
rnacentral:rRNA from 1 species